rnacentral:rRNA from 1 species
AAGUCGUAACAAGGUUUCCGUAGGUACGUAAAACUGAAAUCCUUUCAAUUAUAAUCAAUAACUAACAAUCUCCAGGUGAACCUGCGGAAGGAUCAUUACCGAGUUCUCCUGCUCUGCGGGAACUCCCACCCUUGAACAUGUGGUGUUGCUUCGGCGAGACACUGGUCGCACGGUCAUCGAUGGAGGUCGAUGCGUGCUUGCCGGAGUUCCAUACUCUAUAUUAUGUAUAGUCAGAGAAAACAAGCAAUAAAUAAAAACUUUCAACAACGGAUCUCUUGGUUUUGGCUUCGAUGAAGAACGCAGCGAAAUGCGAUAAGUAAUGUGAAUUGCAGAAUCAGUGAAUCAUCGAAUUUUUGAACGCAUAUUGCACUCCUUGGUAUUCCUUGGAGUACACUUGUUCGAGCGCCGGUUGAUCAAUAAGGCUUCGCCUUGUGUUGAGAUUUCCUGCAAAGGAAUGCUCCAAACCUCUAGGCGUCUGUCGUGCCUGAACCGCAACACAAUGCGGCAAUGGACUUCGGCAGUCGCCCAAUACCGUCUCGUAUGGCCUCGGAUCAAGUGGGGAUACCCGCUAAACUUAAGCAUAUCAUUCAGCGGAGGAAAAGAAACCAACAGGGAUUGCCUCAGUAACGGCGAGUGAAGCGGCAAGAGCUCAGAUUUGAAAUCGGCCCCCCGGCUGAGUUGUAAUCUGUAGAGGAAUGUUCGGCGGAAGUGUUGGCUAAAGUUUUCUGGAAGGAAGCGCCGUAGAGGGUGAGAGCCCCGUUUAGCCCGCGUCUGAUGCCAUGUGUACAUCCUUCGAAGAGUCGAGUUGUUUGGGAAUGCAGCUCAAAAUGGGUGGUAAAUUCCAUCUAAAGCUAAAUAUAAGCCAAAGACCGAUAGCGCACAAGUAGAGUGAUCGAAAGAUGAAAAGCACUUUGGAAAGAGAGUGAAACAGUACGUGAAAUUGUUGAAAGGGAAGCGCUUGUGGUCAGACUUGAGCGUAGUUGCUCAGCCGUUCUUUGAGCGGUGCACUCAACUACGACCAGGCCAGCAUCGGUUUGGGCGGCUGGAUAAAGGCUCGAGAAAUGUGGCCCUUCGGGGUGUUAUAGUCUCUUGCACAAUACAGUCAGCCUGGACCGAGGACAGCGUUCGCUAGGAUGCUGGCGUAAUGGCCAUCAGCGAC